UACGAAGGGGGCAAGCGUUGUUCGGAAUUACUGGGCGUAAAGGGCGCGUAGGCGGUUAUUCAAGUCAGACGUGAAAGCCCUGGGCUUAACCCGGGACGUGCGUUUGAGACUGAGUGGCUAUGAGAACGGAAGAGGUGAGUGGAAUUCCCAGUGUAGAGGUGAAAUUCGUAGAUAUUGGGAAGAACACCGGUGGCGAAGGCGGCGACCUGGUCCGAUACUGACGCUGAGGCGCGAAAGCGUGGGGAGCAAACAGG
rnacentral:rRNA from 1 species